rnacentral:rRNA from 1 species
AGCUCCAAUAGCGUAUAUUAAAGUUGUUGCAGUUAAAAAGCUCGUAGUUGAAUUUCUGCACGUGCCCGGUUGUGGCUUCGGUCAGGCCGUGGCGCGUGCAUCCGCCUGCAAACCUAGACCGGCCUUCACUGGUCGACUAGGGGAGUAGGCCUUUUACCUUGAAAAAAUUAGAGUGUUUCUAGCAGGCAAUUGCUUGAAUACAUUAGCAUGGAAUAAUAGAAUAGGACUUUUGUCCAUUUCGUUGGUUAUUGGACAUUAGUAAUGAUUAAAAGGGACAGUUGGGGGCAUUAGUAUUUAAUUGUCAGAGGUGAAAUUCUUGGAUUUAUUAAAGACUAACUUAUGCGAAAGCAUUUGCCAAGGAUGUUUUCA